rnacentral:rRNA from 1 species
AUGAACGCUAGCGGCAGGCUUAAUACAUGCAAGUUGAGGGGCAGCAUGAUAUACGCGAGUAUAUUGAUGGCGACCGGCGGACGGGUGAGUAAUAGGUAGGAGACCUACCUCAUACAGGGGGAUAGCAUAGAGAAAUCUGUGGUAAUACCCCAUGAGGUUAUAUGAAUAGAGGCAUAUAAUCAAAGCAUAAGCGAUUAUGCGGUAUGAGAGGGGCCUACUGACCAUUAGCUAGUUGGUGAGGUAAGGGCUCACCAAGGCGAAGAUGGUUAGGGGUUUGAGAGAGAGACCCCCCACAUUGGAACUGAGAGACGGUCCAGACUCCUACGGGAGGCAGCAGUAGGGAAUAUUGGGCAAUGGGCGAAAGCCUGACCCAGCCAUGCCGCGUGAAGGAAGACGGCCUUAUGGGUUGUAAACUUCUUUACUACGCGAAUAGAGGUUAGUACGAGAUACUAAUAGGAAGGUAGUGUAGUAAAAAGCACCGGCUAACUCCGUG